AAAAAAACAAACCCUAAAUUUCCAUGUCCAACAUUUAACCGUCCGUCUUAUUUAAAAAAAUUAUGAAAAAAAAUAAAGAGACAAGUCACGUAUAAAAUAUUAAUCAUGUUUUAUCAUCUAACAACAAUAAAAAGACUAAUUAUAAAAAAAUUUCAUAUAAGAUGAACAGUUAAACGUUGGACAUGAAAAUACAGGGUUUGUCUUUUU
rfam:Oryza meridionalis cultivar OR44 (W2112) chromosome 2, whole genome shotgun sequence.